ACUGUGAGCUGCUACUUCUUUCCAAGUAUCAUCAUCAUCAAGAAUCCAUCCAUCCGUUUUCAUCCUGUUCGGUAUUCUCUCCCAAAAGAGGAACAAACCGGUCUUAAAUCUUAAUAAGAGGAUUAAGCAGCAAUGGUAGUACUACGACCAUAAACAAAACCCAAUACUAGGAACCCAACUGAGGUCCUUUGUGUCCUAUGCAAGGAUGCUGAAUUCCUGAUGCAUCUGCCCAGUACCACAGUACAGCGAUCCCUUUUUUUCUCUUUGAAAGUGCGCCGAAUUUCUUUAAGGCUGACAUAAUGAUCAUGCUUUGUUUAUCUCCUUUUUUUUCUUCAAUCUUUGGCGAUGGUGGUCCCCUUGGCGCCGGUGAUCUGCAUGUGCCUGUGAUCUACUGCUGGCUGCAUCACCUCAAUAGUCUACCUGGGUCUCAUUUAUAGAUUCUUGGGUAUUAUCAUUGAGUCCUAUGAGACGAGCAUUUCUCAAGGCGAUGAGGAAAUCUAACAAUCAUUAAUUAAGGUAGGUGUACUCUUGAACUGCAGAUACAUAUAUCUGGUUGAUGGCCUGGGAAGAAUAAGAUGGCAAAGCUCUGGAUCUGCAACACAAGAAGAACUGUCGUCACUAAUAGCGUGUACCUCCAUUUUGUUAGAUGAAAAAUGAGAUGGGGUGGCUGAUCUUUGCUAUUUUGUAACUUUUGGUACAAGAUAUUUUGUGAAUGAUCAUCUCUGGAGCUUUUGUGAAUGAUCUAGCUAGCUAUAAGUAAAUGGUCUAAUUGUGAAUGA